rnacentral:rRNA from 1 species
CUACGGGGCGCUGCAGUGGGGAAUAUUGCACAAUGGGCGCAAGCCUGAUGCAGCCAUGCCGCGUGUGUGAAGAAGGCUCUAGGGUUGUAAAGCACUUUCAGCAGUGAGGAAAGGUUAAUGGUUAAUACCCAUUAGCUGUGACGUUAACUGCAGAAGAAGGACCGGCUAACUCCGUGCCAGCAGCCGCGGUAAUACGGAGGGUCCGAGCGUUAAUCGGAAUUACUGGGCGUAAAGCGUACGUAGGUGGUUUGUUAAGUUGGAUGUGAAAGCCCCGGGCUCAACCUGGGAACUGCAUUCAAAACUGGCGAACUAGAGUAUGGUAGAGGUAAGUGGAAUUUCCUGUGUAGCGGUGAAAUGCGUAGAGAUGGGAAGGAACAUCAGUGGCGAAGGCGACUUACUGGACUGAUACUGACACUGAGGUACGAAAGCGUGGGUAGCAAACAGGAUUAGAUACCCUCGUAGUC